rnacentral:rRNA from 1 species
CCUACGGGGGGCAGCAGUGAGGAAUAUUGCUCAAUGGGGCAACCCUGGCGCAGCAACGCCGCGUGAUUGAAGAAGGCCUUCGGGUUGUAAAGAUCUCUAAUCGGGGACGAAUUUUGACGGUACCAGAAGAAUAAGCUCCGGCUAACUACGUGCCAUCAGCCGCGGUAAUACGGAGGGAGCAAGGGUUAUCCGGAUUUACUGGGGGUAAAGGGCGUGUAGGCGGGCAUGCAAGCCAGAAGGGAAAUCUGUGGGUUUAACCCCCAAACUGCUUUUGGAACUGGGUGUCGUGAGUGAUGGAGAGGCAGGCGGAAUGCCCAGUGUAGCGGUGAAAUGCGUAGAUAUUGGGAGGAACACCAGUGGCGAAGGCAGCCUGCCGGACAUUAACUGACGCUGAGGUGCGAAAGCGUGGGGAGCAAACAGGAUUAGAUACCCUUGUAGUC